AUGACCUUCAUGUGUUUGGGUUCAGUGAGAGUCCACUCCACUGUGACGUCCUCAGGAAGGUCAGGUGUGGUCUUAAAGGGCAGCAGGGCAGACUCCUCUCCUUCGAUCACUACCAACACCUCCACCCACUCUGGAGGAGGAACUGAGAGAAAAAGCGAAACACAGUCCAAUCCUACUUUAUUUAUAAAGCACUUUAAAAUACCCAGCACAGGACCAAAGUGCUGAACAUAAAAUAAGUUAAAAACAAUAGAAUAACAGAAAACAGCAAAAGUAAAUAAAACACACAAUACAUAAAAAUUAAAACAGCGCUAUAUUAAAAAAAGAAAACAAGAUAAAACCACAUAGAAUCAAUUGAAACAACUAAAAUGAAACUAAAAAAUAAAAACCAACAUGUCACGUAGUGUCAAAGGCCAGGGUGAAGAGGUGGGUUUUCAGGAGUGACUUAAAAACAGGUAGUGAGUAGGGAUGGGUAUCGUUUAGGUUUUAUCCGAUACCGGUGCCAAACCGGUACUUUUGAAAUGGUGCCGGUGCAAGUUUCCUGCAGUUUCUGAGGAAUAUUACAGUCAAUCUGGAUCAAAAUUGGCCCACAGGUACAGUAGCUGUCCCACAGGAGAAAUCUAUCAAACGUUGGACAUCAACUACUCAGGAUGAUUUUUAAUGAAUUUUUGAAAUUGACAUAAUUCUAUUGUAUUGACUGUAAUGCAUAUAAUAGACGUUUCCUGCAGUUUCUGAGGAAUAUUACAGUCAAUCUGGAUCGAACUUGGAACAGAUGUACAGUAGGUGUCCCAGAGGAGAAAUCUGUGGAAAGUUGGACAUCAACUAUCAAGAAUGAUUUUUAAUGAAUUUUUUGACAUCAACCAGACUGUCCCGCUUUAGGCUGUCCCAAAGCAAUUUGUGCACGUGCGUGCAUGUCUGAGUCCGCUCGCAUGCAUGUGUGAGUGCGUGCACAAGUGUACUUGUGCUCGGAUUUAUGCUUUCGAUUGGGAAGUAAGGACAAAAGACGCUUCCGUAAAGACUGGUGUAAAAGCGCUAGAAAAUUAAUGUAGCGGAUAAGAAGCGGCUGACUUGAUCGCGGCUCACAAAUGACGGCUCACUUGAACGCGGUUCUAAAAGAACGUACGUACCUGGGCCCGCCUACUAUCCUUGGAAACGUAAAAUGAUUGGCUAGAAUCUGAAGUGUAUCACACUCAGGAAAAAAAAAGCACCGAAAUAAAGCACCGAAAUAAAGCACCGAAAUGUGCGCUGCUUUUCGGUCUGGUUACUACUGUUUAUGUCAGAACAGGAUACCGGUACCCAUCCCUACUAGUGAUGAGGAGGCCUGUCUAAUCUCUAAAGGAAGAUUGUUUCACAGUUUUGGAGCUGCUACAGCAAAAGAACGAUCUUCUCUAAGUUUACGCACAGUCCUGGGUACAUUCAGGAGCAGUGAUCAGCUGACCUGAGAGAGCGGGUGGGUGCAUAAGGCUGUAGCAGCUCAGAGGAGUGAUGGUAAAUUCGAUUCUUUUUACUGAAUCGAGUUUUAAUGAGUCACUCACCAAAGUGAAUCGGGUUUCUUGAGUCAUUUGAGUCACUGAGUCAGUUCACCAGAGAGUGCAAAAAUGUAUAUUUUCACUCAAACUUAAUUUGUUUCUCUUUUAAUGUAAAUCCUACUGCUAAGAUGAAUUAUUGUAAAAGAAAACAACUAUUUUCUUUAGAGCAAAAAAGAGCAAAAAAUUUUUAAAGGGAUCAUUUAUUUAUUUUUAUUUUGGUAUUUUCCUUAAAUGUGUCAUAUAUUUUGUGUAUAUAUUUUCUCAUCUAAAUGUCCACUGAGCUGUGAGCCAGGGGGCGGUAAAGUGCUUUAACAUUGGUUGCCAACCAAGAAGAAGAAGCUGUGAGCCAGGAGGGAGGGAGGGGGUGAGUGAGUGAGUGAGUGAGUCAGUGAUUCGUUCAACUCGUUUGAGCUGUGAGCCAGGAGGGAGGGGUUCGUGAGUCCUGAGUGAUUCGCUUAUGCUAUGAUUCAGCACAGCAAGAGAGGGGUGAGUACCUCAAAUGUGCUGUUAGCAUGCUAGCUGAGCGAUGCUACUGUGAACCGAGGAGCUAUUGUCUUGAUGUGAGCUUCUACUGAGGGUUUUUUCUUCCACUUCAGAGCAGGAAUGUUUUUGUUAAUAAACUGGCUGUUGUUUUUUUCCCCACAAUUUUAAUUAUAAGCUAGAUAUAUUUCUACUAAUGGAAUUAGUUUGCUAACAGCAACAGAGAUGAGUCAGUGAGUCAGUUGCGCUUGUGAGUCAUGAUUCACGAGUCAGUAAAGUGAUUCUCGAGCACUGAACGAUUUGUUCAUGAAUCGAACAUCACUAGCUCAGAGAGAUAAGAUGCGGCUAGGCCAUGGAGAGCUUUAAAAGCAAAUAAAAGAAUCCUAAAAGAAAUGGGCAGCCAGUGAAGUGGAGCUAAAAUAAGGUAAAAAUGCUCAAACUUUCGAGUUCCAGUUAAAAGAGGAGCUGCAGCAUUUUGCAUUUUGCCAACCCAGCGUUUUCCUUCAUCACCACGAAGGAAAAUAGUCUGUGGUCGUCCAAGAUUGGGGAUUUUUGUGUCACAGGUCUAUGUGCUUAAUACAGGGACUUCCACAGCCUUUUCAGCAGCACUGCGGACCGCGGGGUGGGGGGUUGGGGGGCAGUGCUUUGGAAAUGACAGUCUUCAUUACAAAGCUUUCUACGUUAUGAAUUAGCAUACAUGUUUUUAUUGAACAUUUGAAGAACUAGCAAAAAAAAAAACAACAACAAAAAAACCAGAAACUCUUGUAGAGGAAAUAAAGUCCGAGAUAGAAACGACAAGGAGCAGGUGCAUCUAGUACAGGUAGAGCUGCUGCAAAAACCCACAGAGCCCAGCAGCCAGCGCAACAAAUUCUGGAUCCUUUGCUUUUAGUUAGCAUUAGCGGCACAUCCUGCGUCCAUUGACUGUAGAACACAUGGACGACGCGACAGCACCCCAAAAAUGAAGCCAAAACCUCUCUAUCGCCCCCUGAUGUCUGGCUGCAGUAUAGGUCAUAAACCCCGCCUCCUCCAUGUUAGCGGAUGGGACUGGGGUCAGACUAAAAUAAAUUUUUUCUCUGUUAGAUUUGUAUUGUGAUUGUCAUUUAUGCUUAGAAAUAUCUACUUAUAUAUUCUUAGAGUUUUAUAAUUAGGUGUAGAUUGGUAGAGGUUUGAUCCUUAAUAGUCUGCAAGCUUUGUGUGCAUUCCAGAGCUCUCUGACUUUCACACCCACAUUUUAGGAGCAUGGGAGAGGUCGUACCUUGUCUUAUUGUUUUAUGGUAGGAUAAACGUAUCUAUAUCUGUUUUAGGCUAAGUGCCUUUUGUUUAGAUGGACGGCUCUGGGGAGUCUUCCUGGGGUCACGGUUUGACCCCCCCACACAGAUACACACACACACACACACACACACACACAAGGUAUUCUUUGUUCACAUGCAUACCUAUAUAAGAUGUCAUAUGUUAAUGAACCUAUGCAUAUUCAUGUAACCGCAAUAAAAGGAGUGCUAUGGGGAACCUGGCUGAGAGUCUGACGGAGGUCAAGUGGGUGGAACGACACUUGGCUCCGGGCAGGCCUCCCUCAUGCAUGAGUACUACAAAGAACUUUGCCUACUUGUGUCUUGUUUUUGCUGUGUAGCAAAUUGUCCUGAACGUUCCAGCGAAUAGGUUUAUGCUACAAACCUAUCAUUCUCCUCAGAUAAUUUUUUUCCAAAGAUUCUUUCUUUUGUUAUUAAUAGUUCUCAUCACACUGAUUGAUGUCCAAGGGGUCUCCUUUCCCAUAAGUUUGAUUCUAAUUCCUACCGCGGUGAUGUUAAAUUGGGGUGAAACGUCAUCAUAACAGCUUUGACUGGCAGCUGCAGUCACGGAGAAACUUGUGUAUCUCUGUUCGGGAAUAGCAGAUAGAGCGUAGGCUCUGAGAGGAGGGCGUUUACUUUACAAAAACACGACGGAGUGUUUUAACCUGACAGCCUGAGGUGUUCUUCAGAAAACUGGACUACCCGACAGAAGGACCCGAGGCCCUGCUGCACUUUUUCGGUAAGUUAAACGUGUUUGUAAGCUAAUCCGCAACUACCGUCCUUAGCUCGCUCCUGAGACCUAGCUACCUGAAAUGAGCACUCGGCUGUC
rnacentral:lncRNA from 1 species